CAAAGUAUAUAGAUACCAAUGGUCCAGCUGGACAAGCAGAACUAUCAUCACUGCUUCACCCAAGGAACAAUCUUGCAUUGCUUCUCUUUUAUUUAUUUAUUCUGUGUGAGUAGCCCCGCUGAGGAAUAGAACGAAAUGUAUGGCUGGAUUAUUUGCAAGACAGAGGCACCAAACCUUGUGUAAGUCAAUGCUUUAGCAAGAUAGAUGAUUAUGGAGAAAAUAUGUAAGAGGUCGGUCAUACUUGAAGUGACGUCAAGGUCCGGUAUUUAUAGUCGUUCAGUUGAUUAAUGAUUAAUUGAUGUAAUGUCUCCUAUUUAUUAAAGACGGUUAUCAACUCAUUUUUCAUACACGUCUACUAGUUGUUAGAAGCUUCUCCUUUUAGAGAGAUGAAUCUUUUUUAAGCCACAUUAUUAUUAGGUUUUUUGAGCUUAAAUGUAGUAAUUUAUCAUAUUUAAUAAAUUACUCUAUUGAUUACUUA
rnacentral:lncRNA from 1 species